rnacentral:misc_RNA from 1 species
AAACCUCAACCUCCCUGGUUUCUUCUGGAGAUCAAAGGAGGCUUGGACUUUGGAGGCCUUUGCUGGCGUCUCUGCCAGCUCCUCUCAAAUGAAUUAGUGGGGUCCUCUUUGCCGAUCCUUGACAUGUGAUAAGAUGCUUCCGUGUCUCGGUUUCUGGCUCUGUUGCCUUUGGGACCCGCUUCUAACCGUCUAGACCUCGCGUCGAGACAAUGUUCGAGCACGUCUAACGUUCUCGACCCCACGAAC